GUAGCUCAGUUGGUUAGAGCUGAUGGUGGUGCUGAUAAUGCCAAGGUCGUGGGUUCAAUCUCCAUACA